rnacentral:lncRNA from 1 species
AGCUGAAAAGAGAGUGGAGAAAAACAGAGAAAAAAAUACAGUAGCGUGGCAGCAAGCAGAAUUUUCUAAGAAAUUUGACCAGCAACCCGAUCAAGGAGCUGGAGUAGCAGCUAGUAAAUUCGGCUAAUUGGGAGAAGGGAAGUCGGACGAUUUGAAGAACUCUGCCUUUCGAGAACCAGUUUGUAAUUCAUGUUCUCUCCAUUGGAUUCGUGUUCUAUUUUAUUAGCUAUGAGUGGCUAAUUUAUUUAAGCUUAGUUUGACACUUAUGAAACCGGGCACAGGUGAUUUGAAAUCUAUUUUGUUCUAAAAUCGAAUUUGGCACUCUUGAAUUGUUUGAUUUUAUCUUCCAAGGAAUUUUUCUAAUUCAAUUGGAGUGAUCACCUAAUUAAUUUGGGAAUUUUUCUUAUAAUCAUUUAAGUGCAAAUUGAGAAAUCGAAUUUCUCAAUUAUACUUAGAAUUAGUGAUAAUUAAUUGGCCGCAGCUAAUUAAGGCAACUUCGGAUUUAAUCUUAGAAGCCGCUGGUGGAUUUUCUUUGGUUAAGGCAAGGCGAAGUCUCUAAAACUCUAAAAUUCCUUUCACAAAGUCG